rnacentral:rRNA from 1 species
GCCGGAGGGAAACCGAGUCUUAAUUGGGCGUUAAGUUGCAGGGUAUAGACCCGAAACCCGGUGAUCUAGCCAUGGGCAGGUUGAAGGUUGGGUAACACUAACUGGAGGACCGAACCGACUAAUGUUGAAAAAUUAGCGGAUGACCUGUGGCUGGGGGUGAAAGGCCAAUCAAACCGGGAGAUAGCUGGUUCUCCCCGAAAGCUAUUUAGGUAGCGCCUCGUGAAUUCAUCUCCGGGGGUAGAGCACUGUUUCGGCUAGGGGGCCAUCCCGGCUUACCAACCCGAUGCAAACUGCGAAUACCGGAGAAUGUUAUCACGGGAGACACACGGCGGGUGCUAACGUCCGUCGUGAAGAGGGAAACAACCCAGACCGCCAGCUAAGGUCCCAAAGUCAUGGUUAAGUGGGAAACGAUGUGGGAAGGCCCAGACAGCCAGGAUGUUGGCUUAGAAGCAGCCAUCAUUUAAAGAAAGCGUAAUAGCUCACUGGUCGAGUCGGCCUGCGCGGAAGAUGUAACGGGGCUAAACCAUGCACCGAAGCUGCGGCAGCGAACGUAUCACUUAAAGCGAUUCAGCGGGUUACGAUUGACGGAGCGAAGCGACGUCAAAGCGUAUACAAAGUCGAGUCGGUUUAAGGAUACGUUCGUUGGGUAGGGGAGCGUUCUGUAAGCCUGUGAAGGUGGCCUGUGAGGGUUGCUGGAGGUAUCAGAAGUGCGAAUGCUGACAUAAGUAACGAUAAAGCGGGUGAAAAGCCCGCUCGCCGGAAGACCAAGGGUUCCUGUCCAACGUUAAUCGGGGCAGGGUGAGUCGACCCCUAAGGCGAGGCCGAAAGGCGUAGUCGAUGGGAAACGGGUUAAUAUUCCCGUACUUGGUGUUACUGCGAAGGGGGGACGGAGAAGGCUAUGUUGGCCGGGCGACGGUUGUCCCGGUUUAAGCGUGUAGGUGUGUGUUCCAGGUAAAUCCGGUUCACUUUAACACUGAGGCGUGAUGACGAGGCACUACGGUGCUGAAGCAACAAAUGCCCUGCUUCCAGGAAAAGCCUCUAAGCAUCAGGUAACAUCAAAUCGUACCCCAAACCGACACAGGUGGUCAGGUAGAGAAUACCAAGGCGCUUGAGAGAACUCGGGUGAAGGAACUAGGCAAAAUGGUGCCGUAACUUCGGGAGAAGGCACGCUGACACGUAGGUGAAGUGAUUUACUCACGGAGCUGAAGUCAGUCGAAGAUACCAGCUGGCUGCAACUGUUUAUUAAAAACACAGCACUGUGCAAACACGAAAGUGGACGUAUACGGUGUGACGCCUGCCCGGUGCCGGAAGGUUAAUUGAUGGGGUCAGCGCAAGCGAAGCUCCUGAUCGAAGCCCCGGUAAACGGCGGCCGUAACUAUAACGGUCCUAAGGUAGCGAAAUUCCUUGUCGGGUAAGUUCCGACCUGCACGAAUGGCGUAAUGAUGGCCAGGCUGUCUCCACCCGAGACUCAGUGAAAUUGAACUCGCUGUGAAGAUGCAGUGUACCCGCGGCAAGACGGAAAGACCCCGUGAACCUUUACUAUAGCUUGACACUGAACAUUGAGCCUUGAUGUGUAGGAUAGGUGGGAGGCUUUGAAGUGUGGACGCCAGUCUGCAUGGAGCCGACCUUGAAAUACCACCCUUUAAUGUUUGAUGUUCUAACGUGGACCCGUUACCCGGGUUGCGGACAGUGUCUGGUGGGUAGUUUGACUGGGGCGGUCUCCUCCUAAAGAGUAACGGAGGAGCACGAAGGUUGGCUAAUCCUGGUCGGACAUCAGGAGGUUAGUGCAAUGGCAUAAGCCAGCUUGACUGCGAGCGUGACGGCGCGAGCAGGUGCGAAAGCAGGUCAUAGUGAUCCGGUGGUUCUGAAUGGAAGGGCCAUCGCUCAACGGAUAAAAGGUACUCCGGGGAUAACAGGCUGAUACCGCCCAAGAGUUCAUAUCGACGGCGGUGUUUGGCACCUCGAUGUCGGCUCAUCACAUCCUGGGGCUGAAGUAGGUCCCAAGGGUAUGGCUGUUCGCCAUUUAAAGUGGUACGCGAGCUGGGUUUAGAACGUCGUGAGACAGUUCGGUCCCUAUCUGCCGUGGGCGCUGGAGAACUGAGGGGGGCUGCUCCUAGUACGAGAGGACCGGAGUGGACGCAUCACUGGUGUUCGGGUUGUCAUGCCAAUGGCACUGCCCGGUAGCUAAAUGCGGAAGAGAUAAGUGCUGAAAGCAUCUAAGCACGAAACUUGCCCCGA